rnacentral:rRNA from 1 species
GUGGGGAAUCUUGCGCAAUGGGCGAAAGCCUGACGCAGCCAUGCCGCGUGAAUGAUGAAGGUCUUAGGAUUGUAAAAUUCUUUCACCGGGGGCGAUAAUGACGGUACCCGGAGAAGAAGCCCCGGCUAACUUCGUGCCAGCAGCCGCGGUAAUACGAAGGGGGCUAGCGUUGCUCGGAAUUACUGGGCGUAAAGGGCGCGUAGGCGGACAGUUUAGUCAGAGGUGAAAGCCCAGGGCUCAACCUUGGAAUUGCCUUUGAUACUGGCUGUCUUGAGUACGGGAGAGGUGAGUGGAACUCCGAGUGUAGAGGUGAAAUUCGUAGAUAUUCGGAAGAACACCAGUGGCGAAGGCGACUCACUGGCCCGUUACUGACGCUGAGGCGCGAAAGCGUGGGGAGCAAACAGGAUUAGAAACCCCUGUAGUCC